rnacentral:rRNA from 1 species
GAUGAACGCUGGCGGCGUGCCUAAUACAUGCAAGUCGAGCGAACAGAUAAGGAGCUUGCUCCUUUGAAGUUAGCGGCGGACGGGUGAGUAACACGUGGGUAACCUACCUAUAAGACUGGGAUAACUUCGGGAAACCGGAGCUAAUACCGGAUAACAUUUAGAACCGCAUGGUUCUAAAGUGAAAGAUGGUUUUGCUAUCACUUAUAGAUGGACCCGCGCCGUAUUAGCUAGUUGGUAAGGUAACGGCUUACCAAGGCGACGAUACGUAGCCGACCUGAGAGGGUGAUCAGCCACACCGGAACUGAGACACGGUCCAGACUCCUACGGGAGGCAGCAGUAGGGAAUAUUCCGCAAUGGGCGAAAGCCUGACGGAGCAACGCCGCGUGAGUGAUGAAGGGUUUCGGAUCGUAAAACUCUGUUAUUAGGGAAGAACAAAUGUGUAAGUAACUGUGCACAUCUUGACGGUACCUAAACAGAAAGCCACGGCUAACUACGUG